rnacentral:rRNA from 1 species
UACGUAGGUGGCAAGCGUUGUCCGGAUUUACUGGGUGUAAAGGGCGUGCAGCCGGAGAGACAAGUCAGAUGUGAAAUCCACGGGCUCAACCCGUGAACUGCAUUUGAAACUGUUUCCCUUGAGUGUCGGAGAGGCAAUCGGAAUUCCUUGUGUAGCGGUGAAAUGCGUAGAUAUAAGGAAGAACACCAGUGGCGAAGGCGGAUUACUGGACGAUAACUGACGGUGAGGCGCGAAAGCGUGGGGAGCAAACAGG